rnacentral:lncRNA from 1 species
AUCAAAUGCAUCAGGUUUCCUUGCUCAUCGCAAUUAUUAGUUCCGUGCUGGUUUAUGUUUCUGUGAAUUUGGAUGUCAUUCAUCAGGUAGAACGCAAUGCUUUGCUGUCAAACGCAUUUUGAUAGCGUCCAGAUCGUCUAAAACCUCGAUUACAACGUGAGGAAUACCUGGCUUGAUCAAGCAUUUAGAAUCUGACUUCUAACGUGUAGACUUCGUGAUCGGAGCUGCUGGGACGCCGGAGUGUCUCCAUCUGAGGUCAAUCAUUGCAACAUGAGACACUGCAUGUGCACGAAACAACCAGGAUGCUCUCGAUCGGCCACACGUUCCUAUUCAGAAAUCAAUGUGUGAAAUCUUUGUCGAAUUUUCUAGAGACAAUUUCCCUUACGUUGGCACACAACACAGCUUUUAUGCAUAUGACCUAGGGACAUUGAGCCUUCCCACUACCUGCCACUGCAGAUCUCUCGAGGAACGCCAGCGAGUGUAAACUGCUGGAAAAGGAUCUGUGCUCAGAGCAACAGCCAUGGCGGAGGCUUCAGGGAAAGGGUCAGGCAGCAGCCCAUUGAGAGCUCGGUCUGCCCUCUCCCAGAGGCUCCUGGAGCAGCAGCAAGGGCACUCGCAAGUUGCUCAGCAACCCACAGAGUCCGUCAUUGACAUUGGUCCCUUGGGACCCUCCCUGCCCAACCCUGCAUCUCUGCCCCCGCUACAUCCAGG